rnacentral:rRNA from 1 species
AUGUGGCGGCUGAAGAUCGCGGAGGGCGGGGCCGACCCGUGGCUGCGCACCAAGAACGCGCACGUCGGCCGCCAGGUCUGGGAGUUCGACGCCGCCGCCGACGACCCCGACGCCCUCGCCGCCGUCGACGCCGCGCGCCGGGAGUUCGCCGCGCGCCGCCACCAGCUCAAGCACAGCGCCGACCUCCCCAUGCGCAUCCAGCUUGCAAAAGAAAAUCCACUUAAGUUGGAUCUUCCUGCUAUCAAGCUGGGGGAGAAUGAAGAUGUCACGGAGGAAGCUGUGUCGACCACUUUGAGAAGGGCGCUCAGCACUUUUUCUACUCUCCAGGCACACGAUGGACACUGGCCUGGGGAUUAUGGGGGUCCUAUGUUCCUUAUGCCAGGAUUGCUUAUAAUGCUACAUGUUACUGGAGCACUGAACACUGUUUUAUCAUCAGAACAUCAAAAGGAGAUCCGUCGAUAUCUCUAUAAUCAUCAGAAUGAAGAUGGAGGUUGGGGAUUACACAUUGAGGGUCCAAGCACCAUGUUUGGCUCAGCCUUGACCUAUGUUUCUUUGAGAUUGCUUGGUGAGGGACCAGAUAGUGGAGAUGGAGCUAUGGAGAAAGGUCGAAACUGGAUUUUAGACCAUGGGGGAGCAACUUAUAUAACAUCAUGGGGAAAGUUUUGGCUCGCGGUACUUGGUGUAUUUGAUUGGUCUGGUAACAAUCCACUGCCACCGGAAACAUGGAUGUUGCCGUAUUGCCUGCCAGUCCACCCAGGUCGAAUGUGGUGUCACUGCAGAAUGGUGUAUCUACCCAUGUGCUACGUUUAUGGAAAGAGGUUUGUCGGCCGAAUUACACCAAUUAUAUUGGAACUAAGAAAUGAACUCUUCAAAGUCCCCUACAGCGAGGUUGAUUGGGACAGUGCUCGCAAUCUCUGUGCUAAGGAAGAUCUGUACUACCCACAUCCACUCAUACAAGAUAUCUUAUGGGCCACUCUCCAUAAAUUUGUUGAACCUGUUAUGAUGCACUGGCCUGGGAACAAACUGAGAGAGAAAUCUUUGAACCAUGUCAUGCAGCAUGUUCAUUAUGAAGAUGAGAACACUCGAUACAUUUGCAUUGGUCCUGUGAACAAGGUAUUAAAUAUGCUUGCUUGCUGGAUUGAAGAUCCAAACUCAGAAGCAUUCAAGCUACACAUUCCAAGAAUAUAUGAUUACUUAUGGGUUGCUGAAGAUGGCAUGAAGAUGCAGGGUUAUAAUGGCAGCCAGCUCUGGGACACAGCUUUUGCAGUUCAAGCUAUUGCGGCCACUGACCUCAUUGAAGAGUUUGCUCCCACUCUUAAGCUGGCACAUGAUUUUAUUAAGAACUCUCAGGUUGUUGAUGACUGCCCUGGAGAUCUGAGUUACUGGUACCGUCACAUAUCUAAAGGUGCAUGGCCCUUUUCUACAGCUGAUCAUGGUUGGCCUAUAUCAGAUUGCACUGCAGAAGGACUAAAGGCCUCAUUAUUGCUAUCAAAGAUUUCUCCAGAAAUUGUGGGCGAAUCGGUGGAAGUUAACAGACUAUAUGAUGCUGUCAAUUGUUUGAUGUCUUGGAUGAUCCAAGGGUUGAGAAUUUUACUUGGAACCUUACCCUGUAUUCUCUCCUCUAAUAAUGGUCUAUUUGAUCGACAGUUCAUAAAUAAUAAUGGAUCGUCUAUUUUAGUUAAUGAAAAUGGUGGCUUCGCAACAUAUGAACUCCAAAGGUCUUAUGCCUGGCUUGAGCUUAUCAACCCUGCCGAGACAUUCGGAGAUAUUGUGAUUGAUUACCCGUAUGUGGAAUGUACCUCAGCCGCAAUUCAGGCCCUGACAUCAUUUAAAAAGCUCUAUCCUGGGCACCGCAGGAAAGAUGUAGAUAACUGUAUCAACAAAGCUGCUAGUUACAUUGAGAGCAUCCAAAGAAAAGAUGGUUCAUGGUAUGGCUCUUGGGCUGUGUGCUUCACCUAUGGCACAUGGUUCGGAGUGAAGGGGCUACUAGCUGCAGGUAGAACCUUCAAGAGCAGUCCUGCAAUCAGAAAGGCAUGUGACUUUCUGAUGUCAAAAGAGCUUCCUUUCGGUGGCUGGGGAGAAAGCUAUCUGUCAUCUCAAGAUCAGGUUUACACCAAUCUUGAAGGGAAGCAUACUCAUGCUGUCAACACUGGCUGGGCCAUGCUGACUCUAAUUGACGCAGGACAGGCUGAGAGAGACCCGACGCCUCUGCAUCGAGCAGCGAAGGUUUUGAUAAACUUACAAUCAGAGGAUGGGGAAUUUCCUCAGCAAGAGAUCAUGGGAGUCUUCAACAAGAACUGCAUGAUCAGCUACUCCCAGUAUCGGAACAUCUUCCCUAUCUGGGCGCUUGGCGAGUACCGCUGCCGGGUGCUGGGCGCGGCCAAGAAGUAG